rnacentral:rRNA from 1 species
UACGUAGGGUGCGAGCGUUAAUCGGAAUUACUGGGCGUAAAGCGUGCGCAGGCGGUUUUGUAAGCCAGAUGUGAAAUCCCCGGGCUUAACCUGGGAAUGGCAUUUGGGACUGCAAGGCUGGAGUACGGCAGAGGAGACUGGAAUUCCUGGUGUAGCAGUGAAAUGCGUAGAGAUCAGGAGGAAUACCGAUGGCGAAGGCAGGUCUCUGGGCUGAUACUGGCGCUCAUGCACGAAAGCGUGGGGAGCAAACAGG